rnacentral:rRNA from 1 species
AGAGUUUGAUCCUGGCUCAGGAUGAACGCUAGCGACAGGCUUAACACAUGCAAGUCGAGGGGCAGCACAGGUAGCAAUACCGGGUGGCGACCGGCGCACGGGUGAGUAACGCGUAUGCAACUUGCCUAUCAGAGGGGGAUAACCCGGCGAAAGUCGGACUAAUACCGCAUGAAGCAGGGGCCCCGCAUGGGGAUAUUUGCUAAAGAUUCAUCGCUGAUAGAUAGGCAUGCGUUCCAUUAGGCAGUUGGCGGGGUAACGGCCCACCAAACCGACGAUGGAUAGGGGUUCUGAGAGGAAGGUCCCCCACAUUGGUACUGAGACACGGACCAAACUCCUACGGGAGGCAGCAGUGAGGAAUAUUGGUCAAUGGACGCAAGUCUGAACCAGCCAUGCCGCGUGCAGGAAGACGGCUCUAUGAGUUGUAAACUGCUUUUGUACGAGGGUAAACGCUCUUACGUGUAAGAGCCUGAAAGUAUCGUACGAAUAAGGAUCGGCUAACUCCGUGCCAGCAGCCGCGGUAAUACGGAGGAUCCAAGCGUUAUCCGGAUUUAUUGGGUUUAAAGGGUGCGUAGGCGGUUUAGUAAGUCAGCGGUGAAAUUUUGGUGCUUAACACCAAACGUGCCGUUGAUACUGCUGGGCUAGAGAGUAGUUGCGGUAGGCGGAAUGUAUGGUGUAGCGGUGAAAUGCUUAGAGAUCAUACAGAACACCGAUUGCGAAGGCAGCUUACCAAACUAUAUCUGACGUUGAGGCACGAAAGCGUGGGGAGCAAACAGGAUUAGAUACCCUGGUAGUCCACGCAGUAAACGAUGAUAACUCGCUGUCGGCGAUACACAGUCGGCGGCUAAGCGAAAGCGAUAAGUUAUCCACCUGGGGAGUACGUUCGCAAGAAUGAAACUCAAAGGAAUUGACGGGGGCCCGCACAAGCGGAGGAACAUGUG